rnacentral:rRNA from 1 species
UCGGGAAUUUUGGGCAAUGGGCGAAAGCCUGACCCAGCAACGCCGCGUGAAGGAUGAAGUAUUUCGGUAUGUAAACUUCGAAAGAAUAGGAAGAAUAAAUGACGGUACUAUUUAUAAGGUCCGGCUAACUACGUGCCAGCAGCCGCGGUAAUACGUAGGGACCAAGCGUUGUUCGGAUUUACUGGGCGUAAAGGGCGCGUAGGCGGCAAUUCAAGUCAUCUGUGAAAUCUCCGGGCUUAACUCGGAACGGUCAGAUGAUACUGCUUUGCUAGAGUGCAGAAGGGGCAAUCGGAAUUCUUGGUGUAGCGGUGAAAUGCGUAGAUAUCAAGAGGAACACCUGAGGUGAAGACGGGUUGCUGGGCUGACACUGACGCUGAGGCGCGAAAGCCAGGGGGAGCAAACGGGGAUUAGAUACCCAAGUAGUCC